rnacentral:lncRNA from 1 species
UUUUUAUCAAUUAAUUUAGUAAAACUUCAUAAUACCUCCUAAAUUGAUGGAAUAACCACUAUAAAAUUAUUAUUUUCUUGAUAAAUGGAGACGACAAAGGCUCCAAACCUCUUUUAACAUCGUCAUAUGUUAGUGCAGGAUGCAACUAGGCAUUAAAACAAUAUUGUCAUAUGUUUUGAAAUUUUCUCAAAUUCUAUUGGCUAACCCCUACAAAAAUAUUGAGUUUUUGGUAAAUACUUUAUAUACUGAAGCUUAUAAUCUUAAGUGUUGUUUUAAAAUCUCUACCAUAUUCUACAUUUGUAUUAAUGUAUGCUAAACUCUUUUUCAUAGUAAAUGAGUAUCGUUCAAUUGUUUUUACCAAUUAAUUUAGUAAAACUUCAUAAUACCCCCUAAAUCGAUGGAAUAAUCAAUAUAAAAUUAUUAUUUUCUUGAUACACGGAGAGCACAAAAUCUCCAAAUCUCUUUGAACAUCAUAAUAUGUUAGUGUAGGAUGCAACUAGGCAUUAAAACAAUAUUGUCAUAUUUUUUGAAAUUAUCUCAAAAUCUAUGGGCAAACCCCUACAAAAAUAUUGAGUUUUUGGUAAAUACUUUAUAUACUGAAGCCUAUAAUCUUUAAUGUUAUUUUAAAAUUUCUACCAUAUUCUACAUUUUUAUUAAUGUAUGCUACUAUAAUCUUUAAUGUUAUUUUAAAAUUUCUACCAUAUUCUACAUUUUUAUUAAUGUAUGCUCAAUUCCUUUUCAUGGUAAAUGAGCAUCGUUCAAUUGUUUUUAUCAAUUUAUUUAGUAAAACUUCAUAAUACCCCUUAAAUCGAUGGAAUAACCAAUAUAAAAUUAUUAUUUUCUUGAUAAACGGAGAGCACAAAGGCUCCAAACCUCUUUGAACAUCAUCAUAUGUUAGUACAGGAUGCAACUAGGCAUUAAAACAAUAUUGUCAUAUUUUUUGAAAUUUUCUCAAAAUCUAUGGGCUAAUACUCCUACAAAAAUAUUGAGUUUUUGUUAAAUACUUUGUAUACUGAAGCCUAUAAUCUUUAGUGUUGUUUUAAAAUUUCUACCAUAUUCUACAUUUGUAUUAAUGUAUGCUUAACUCGUUUUCAUGGUAAAUGAGCAUUUUUCAAUUGUUUUUAUCAAAUAAUUUAAUAAAACUUCAUAAUACUCCCUAAAUCAAUGGAAUAACCACUAUAAAAUUAUUAUUUUCUUGAUAAACGGAGACGACAAAGGCUCCAAACCUCUUUUAACAUCAUCAUAUGUUAGUGCAGGAUGCAACUAGGCAUUAAAACAAUAUUGUCAUAUUUUUUGAAAUUUUCUCAAAAUCUAUGGGCUUAACCCCGACAAAAAUAUUGAGUUUUUGGUAAAUACUUUAUAUACUGAAGCCUAUAAUCUUAAGUGUUGUUUUAAAAUUUCGACCAUAUUCUACAUUUUUAUUAAUUUAUGCUAAACUUCUUUUCAUGGUAAUUGGGCAUCGUUGAAUUAUUUUUAUCAAUUAAUUUAGUAAAACUUCAUAAUACCCCCUAAAUCGAUGGAAUAAGCAAUAUAAAAUUAUUAUUUUCUUGACAAACGGAGAGCACAAAGGCUCCAAACCUCUUUGAACAUCAUAAUAUGUUAGUGCAGGAUGCAACUAGGCAUUAAAAUAAUAUUGUAUUAUUUUUUGAAAUUUUCUCAAAAUCUAUGGGCUAACCCCUAAAAAAUAUUGAGUUUUUGGUAAAUACUUUAUAUACUAAAGCCUAUAAUCUUUAAUGUUAUUUUAAAUUUUCUAACAUAUUCUAAAUUUGUAUUAAUGAAUGCUAAACUCUUUUUCAUGGUAAAUGAGCAUCGUUCAAUGGUUUUUAUCAAUUAAUUUAAUAAAACUUCAUAAUACCUCCUAAAUCAAAGGAAUAACCACUAUAAAAUUAUUAUUUUCUUGAUAAACGGAGAGCACAAAGGCUCCAAACCACUUUGAACAUCAUCAUAUGUUAGUGCUGGAUGCAACUAGGCAAUAAAACAAUAUUGUCAUAUUUUUUGAAAUUUUCUCAUAAUCUAUAGGCUAACACCCCUACAAAAAUAUUGAGUUUUUGGUAAAUACUUUGUAUACUGAAGCCUAUAAUCUUUAGUGUUGUUUUAAAAUUUCUACCAUAUUCUACAUUUGUAUUUAUGUAUGCUAAACUCAUUUUCAUGGUAAAUGAGCAUCGUUCAAUGGUUUUUAUCAAUUAAUUUAGUAAAACUUCAUAAUACCUCCUAAAUCGAUAGAAUAACCACUAUAAAAUUAUUAUUUUCUUGAUAAACGAAGAGCACAAAAGCUUCAAACCUCUUUGAACAUCAUCAUAUGUUAGUGCAGGAUGCAACUAGACAUUAAAACAAUAUUUUCAUAUUUUUUGAAAUUUUCUCAAAAUUUAUGACAAGUAGGCGAGUUAGUAAACCGUG